rnacentral:rRNA from 1 species
UACGUAGGUGGCGAGCGUUUGUCCGGAAUUACUGGGUGUAAAGCGCGUGUAGGCGGGAGGCCAAGUCUGCGGUGAAAUCGCUCGGCUCAACUGGGCGGGGUCCGUGGAAACUGGUCACCUGGAGGACGGUAGAGGCGAGUGGAAUUCCCGGUGUAGCGGUGAAAUGCGUAGAGAUCGGGAGGAACACCGGCGGCGGAGGCGGCUGCCUGGACCAGUCCUGACGCUGAGGCGCGAAAGCUAGGGGAGCAAACAGG